rnacentral:tRNA from 1 species
GGAGAGAUGGCAGAGUGGUCGAAUGCGGCGGACUUGAAAUCCGUUGAGGGGGUAACCCCUCCAGGGGUUCGAAUCCCUUUCUCUCCGCCA